UUGUUUUGUUUUGUACCCAUGCUGUUGAUUGCUAAAUGUUUUAAUAGUCUAGUCAUGAUACUGAAUAAAUGUCUUUUUUUUUUAAUUUAACAAAGCAUGAAAGAUUGCUUAAUUGUACAUCUGACAAAGUGCUGGCGGCUCUUAUAAAGUAUAAUUACUAUUACUACCUUUUAAGAGACAGGGUCUUGCUCUGUCACCCAGGCUGGAGUGCAGUGGUGCGAUCACAGCUCACUGCAACCUCAAACUUCAGGGCCCAAGUGAUCCUCCCACCUCAGCUUCCCAAGUAGCUAGGACUACAGAUGUGCACCACCAUGCCCAGCUAAGUUUUUUUAGUUUUUGUAGAGAUGGGGCCUUGCUAUGUUGCCCGGUCAUGUCUCAAAUGCCGACCUCAGGCACUCCUCCCUCUUGCCUCUCCCUCCCAAAGUGCUGGGAUUACAGGUGUGAGCCUACAUUCCAAAAUGCUGGGAUCACAGGUGUGAGCCUACACCACACCUGGCCUACGUUUUAAUUUUUUCAUAAAGUUGAGAGAAGCAAAUCCUAAGCAUAGAGUACAGGUUGAGCAUCCCUAAUCAAAAAAUCGAAAAUCGGAAAUGCUCCAAAAUUGGAAUGCUCAAAGGAAAUCCUUAUUAGGGCAUUUCUGAUUUUUGGAUUAGGGAUGCUGAACUGAUAAGUAUAAUGCAAGUAUUCUAAAGUCUGGACAAUGCUAAAAACACUGCUGGUUCCAAGCAUUUCAGAUAAGGAUUGCUCAAUUUGCCCUUUGAGUAUUUAAUAUAUGCUGAUUGUUUAAACUGAUCAGGAUUUAAUUACAUAAAUGAUCUUUGGCUUAGUGCCUUUCUUAAAAAUUUCAAUUUUAAAAAGCAUUAUGAAACACCCCUGUGGUUUUUCAGAAAAAAUUUGAAAAAGAAAUUUCAUCUUGUUCUAUCCCUUUUAAUAGAAAAACAAAUCUUUUUGAAAGAAUGUGCUACUAUAUUUCAAGCCAGUUGUUUUGGAGUAGAACAUUGCUAAAAAAAACAGGUACUAAGGAGGGUAAUUUAAACAAAGUAGAUUAAUGACACAAGGAUUGAUGAACUCAUAAAUCCUAAUGAAUGGAAUGCUAGAAGACAUGUAUUAACAGUAGAAACUCUGAGGUACAUAGCUCUUACCAAAAUAUAUCCUUGCUUGUUGGACUCUGACGUGAAGAUCAAAGGUGAUGGCAUCCCACAGAUGACAGAUAAUGGGCAAAAUAUAUUCUUGGUGUGGAGCAGUGCUGCCGAAUUAACUUCCCUGUGUACAUCCCAGAAUCAUGUUGGAUCUGCUAAGGUUUUUAUUAGAAUGAUUUAAUAGGCUUUUGCAGGAUUAACUUCACAGUAGUUACCAGAAAAGGCUAUGCUACAAGAAUGAAAAUUGAAGAACAAAGACCGAAAUGAUACGAUUCUAAAUGAAAAAAAUAAAGAAGUGGAAUAGUUUCUCCAAAGGCAUAGGAGGCAAAGCAUUGUUUCAGAAGUGGACUGGCACCUCACCUGAGAUACUCAAGACUGGCAACAUGGGUCUUCAUUCUUUGUUAUCACUGAGGUUGUGUCCUAAAGGAUUCCCUAGCUCUAAUGACAGAUUUUUUUGGGGGGUGGGGAGGUAAUGAGGCUAUGAGAAGAUUGAGGAUCUAGGUGCUUGCCUCUAAUUCUACAGCAUAAAGGUGUGUCGCUUUUAUCUCUAGGACACCAAUAUUUUUAAUGUUGCAUAUCAUGUAUCUCCAGUACGAGAAGAAAGUUUAUCGGAAUUUAGUUAAUGUUGGAAACUUUGUAAUACAAACAAUGUAAACACUACAUUGACAAAAAUAUUAAUAAUUAUGCAUAUAGUUUGCUUACUAUAGAAAUUCUUGUUUUUGAUGUUGGAUACAACCCAAAGGAGUUUUUAUGUAUAGAGAUGGUGAAUAAAUUGGGAAAAGAAAUAGAGAUAAGCAGAGAUUAUUUCGUUUCAUUAAACUUUUGAAGUCCUAA